GCUAAAAAGCUAGCUUAAUUAUUUUUCAACUUUAAAAUAUAAAUAAAAUUAAAUAAAAAUAACAUCAAAAAUUAAACCAUUUUUUUACCUUAGUAUGGGAGACAAAAAAGGUAUCAUAUAAAGCUAUAGAGAUAGUACCGUAAGGGAAAGCUGAAAAAGAAAUGAAAUAACACAUUAAAGCAUUAAAAAGCAAAGAUUAAAUCUUGUACCUUUUGCAUCAUGAUUUAGUUAGUAUACUUAAGCAAAGAGAACUUUAGUUUAAAUUCCCGAAACCAAGUGAGCUACCCCGAGACAGCCUAUUAAGGGCCAACCCAUCUCUGGGGCAAAAGAGUGAGAAGAGCUCCGGGUAGAAGUGAUAGACUUACCGAACUUGGUGAUAGCUGGUUUCCUAAGAAAUGAAUAGAAGUUUAGCCUUAUUUACCCCCCCCAUCAAACUAUAAAAAGAUGAUUGAGUAAAAUAUAAGAGUUAAUUAAAAGGGGUACAGCCCUUUUAAUAAAGGAUACAACCUUCUCAGGAGGAUAAAGAUCAUAAUACAUAAAGUAUACUGUUUUAGUGGGCCUAAAAGCAGCCACCUAAAUAGAAAGCGUCAAAGCUCGGACAGAAUGUAAUUUAUUAUGCCGAUAAAAAAUCUUAUUCCCCCAUAUGCUAUUAGGAUAUUCCAUGCACACAUGGAAGAAAAUUAUGCUAAAAUGAGUAACAAGAAGGCACGCCCUUCUCCUAAGUAUAAAUGUAAACCAAACCGGACUAACCAUUGGUAAUUAACGAACCCAAUUAAAGAGAGUAAUGUGAAUUAUAAAAAACUCAAGAAAACCCCACAAUAAACCAUCGUUAACCUUACACUAGAAUACUAAUAAAGGAAAGACUAAAAGAAAAAGAAGGAACUCGGCAAACAUCAGCCUCGCCUGUUUACCAAAAACAUCGCCUCUUGAAAAAUGAAUAUAAGAGGUCAAACCUGCCCAGUGACUACAAGUUCAACGGCCGCGGUAUUUUGACCGUGCAAAGGUAGCGCAAUCACUUGUCCUUUAAAUAAGGACCUGUAUGAAUGGCUAAACGAGGGCUUAACUGUCUCCUUUUUCAAGUCAGUGAAAUUGAUUUAUCCGUGCAGAAGCGGAUAUACUUAUACAAGACGAGAAGACCCUUUGGAGCUUAAGGCAUAAAACUUAAUCACGUUAAAUAACUAAAUAAAAAGUAACUUUUAACCUUGUGAUACUGAGAUAAAUACCUUCGGUUGGGGCGACCAUGGAGAAAAAUAAAACCUCCAAAUGGAAUGGGGGAGCUCCCUAAAAUUAAGAGAGACAUCUCUAAACCACAGAACAUCUGACCAUUAAUGAUCCGGUAAAAACCGAUCAACGAACCAAGUUACCCAAGGGAUAACAGCGCAAUCCUCUCCCAGAGUCCAUAUCGACGAGGGGGUUUACGACCUCGAUGUUGGAUCAGGACAUCCUAAUGGUGCAGCCGCUAUUAAGGGUUCGUUUGUUCAACGAUUAAAGUCCUACGUGAUCUGAGUUCAGACCGGAGCAAUCCAGGUCAGUUUCUAUCUGUAGCGCAACUUUUCCCAGUACGAAAGGAUCGGAAAAGAGGGGCCCAUGCCUAAGGCAUGCCCCACCCUAAAUUUGUGAAAACAAAUAAACAUAGGUUGAGGGAGCAAAACCCUUAACCAAAAUAAGGACAU
rnacentral:rRNA from 1 species